AAUGAACGUUGGCGGCAUGGAUUAGGCAUGCAAGUCGGGGGAAUCCCAGCAAUGGGGGAACCGGCGUAAGGGGCAGUAAGGCAUGGGUACCUACCUUGGGGUUCGGGAUAGCCAUCAGAGAUGGUGGGUAAUACCGGAUGACGUCGUGAGACCAAAGAUUUAUCGCCCUUAGAGGGGCGCAUGUGAUAUUAGCUAGUUGGUGGGGUAACGGCCCCCCAAGGCGAAGAUGUCUAGCGGGUGUGAGAGCACGACCCGCGCCACUCGCACUGAGACACUGGCGAGACACCUACGGGUGGCUGCAGUCGAGGAUCUUCGGCAAUGAGCGCAAGCUUGACCGAGCGAUGCCGCGUGAGCGAUGAAGGCCUUCGGGUUGUAAAGCUCUUUAGUGGGGGAGAAAAGCCGCAAGGUGUGAUCUAUCCCAAAAAUAAGCACGGGCUAAGUUCGUGCCAGCAGCCGCCGUAA
rnacentral:rRNA from 1 species